rnacentral:rRNA from 1 species
ACGGGUGGGUAACACGUAGGUAACCUGCCUAUGAGACUGGGAUAACUAUCGGAAACGAUAGCUAAGACCGGAUAACUGGUUUUCUCGCAUGAGAGAAUCAUGAAACACGGAGCAAUCUGUGGCUUAUAGAUGGGCCUGCGGCGCAUUAGCUAGUUGGUAGGGUAAUGGCCUACCAAGGCGACGAUGCGUAGCCGACCUGAGAGGGUGACCGGCCACACUGGGACUGAGACACGGCCCAGACUCCUACGGGAGGCAGCAGUAGGGAAUCUUCCGCAAUGGACGCAAGUCUGACGGAGCAACGCCGCGUGAGUGAUGAAGGUUUUCGGAUCGUAAAGCUCUGUUGCCCUAGACGAACAGCAAGGAGAGUAACUGCUCUUUGUGUGACGGUAUAGGAGAAGAAAGCCCCGGCUAACUACGUGCCAGCAGCCGCGGUAAUACGUAGGGGGCAAGCGUUGUCCGGAAUUAUUGGGCGUAAAGCGCGCGCAGGCGGUCAAUUAAGUUGGGUGUUUAAGCCCGGGGCUCAACCCCGGUUCGCAUCCAAAACUGGUUGACUUGAGUGUAGGAGAGGAAAGUGGAAUUCCACGUGUA